GUCAACCUGCUUUCAAACUGUUUCUAAACUGCUCUGUACUUUUCCAUGCCUGUACUUCUCCCACUCGAGUCCUGAAGUCUCUGUAUUUGAAAGCCAGUCACUCACGAGUCUUGAAGUCUCUGUAUUUGAAAGCCAGUCACUCACGAGUCCUGAAGUCUCUGUAUUUGAAAGCCAGUCACUCACGAGUCCUGAAGUCUCUGUAUUUGAAAGCCAGUCACUCACGAGUCCUGAAGUCUCUGUAUUUGAUUUCUUGUGUUUUCCUCUAAGAGUUCCUGGACUGAGAAGAGAUUGAGAAGAUGCUGAGAGUGAAGAGAGGAGUGCUGCUGCUCAUACUGCUGGUAACAUUCAGCUCAGCAGCAGAUCUGAAAUACUACUGCUCCGUUAACUUCCCAAAUCCCUGCCCAGUGCUUAAUUUUUUUUCCUGGUAUGAAGUUGGAUCAUCCUGUGUCAAAUAUUUCAGCACCCCAAUGACCUUUUCUGUUGCUGAGGUGAGCCUGUUUGUCUGAGGUGAGGUGAGUCUGUUGAGCCUCUCUCCCUCCUCUCAAUCCCUGCCUUCCCAUCCUCUCCCCUCCCCUGCCCUCCAUUCCGGUGGUCACUUGGUCUCGAUUCACAGUGAGGAGACUAACAAAAGGCUCUCGUGUAUCACCAAGAAAUACCAGCACACUGGCAAGCCUCAAACCUGGAUGGGGGGUUUCUAUCUAUUCAAGGUGAACUGGGGCCCCAAAAGUACAUCUGGACCGAUGGUUCUGAAUGGGAUUAUUCCAAUUGGGCCCUGGGGGAACCAAACAACCAGAGCAAUCUUGAGGACUGCACAGAGAUUAACUAUAACAGUCCUGGCAAAUGGAAUGAUGUCAACUGUAACAUUAAGAAACCAUUUAUCUGCGCUUUCAAAGUCCAGAGAAACUAGCAGCCAGCCGAGAUGCCAUGAGAAAGCAACAUCACAAUGAAAGGGGCUCCAGCCAUCAAAUCCAUUAUUAACAUUACCACUGCUCCCCAGCCAUUUAUCAAAUCCAUUAUUAACAUUACCACUGCUCCCCAGCCAUUUAUCAAAUCCAUUAUUAACAUUACCACUGCUCCCCAGCCAUUUAUCAAAUCCAUUAUUAACAUUACCACUGCUCCCCAGCCAUUUAUCAAAUCCAUUAUUAACAUUACCACUGCUCCCCAGCCAUUUAUCAAAUCCAUUAUUAACAUUACCACUGCUCCCCAGCCAUUUAUCAAAUCCAUUAUUAACAUUACCACUGCUCCCCAGCCAUUUAUCAAAUCCAUUAUUAACAUUACCACUGCUCCCCAGCCAUUUAUCAAAUCCAUUAUUAACAUUACCACUGCUCCCCAGCCAUUUAUCAAAUCCAUUAUUAACAUUACCACUGCUCCCCAGCCAUUUAUCAAAUCCAUUAUUAACAUUACCACUGCUCCCCCUACCUCCCUUCCUCUCUAACUCUCUAACUAACUAAACAUCUUUAAAAUCCUCUCUUCUUAUUAUUAACAUUAUCACUGCUCCUCCUCUCUACCUUCAUUAUUAGAAAUGGUUUCCUGCUGGACCCCAUCGCUUCUGCAUUGCUUUGAUUUACUGCAAUAAAACAGCUUUCUGAGCAUCAUGUAAAAAAUCA